GUUAAUGUAGCUUAGAUUAUUAAAGCAAGGCACUGAAAAUGCCUAGACGGGUAUUUUACCCCAUAAACA
rnacentral:tRNA from 2 species